rnacentral:rRNA from 1 species
AACGAACGCUGGCGGCAGGCCUAACACAUGCAAGUCGAGCGAGGACUUCGGUCCUAGCGGCGGACGGGUGAGUAACGCGUGGGAACGUGCCCUUUGCUUCGGAAUAGCCCUGGGAAACUGGGAGUAAUACCGGAUGAGCCCUUUGGGGGAAAGAUUUAUCGGCGAAGGAUCGGCCCGCGUUGGAUUAGGUAGUUGGUGGGGUAAUGGCCUACCAAGCCGACGAUCCAUAGCUGGUUUGAGAGGAUGAUCAGCCACACUGGGACUGAGACACGGCCCAGACUCCUACGGGAGGCAGCAGUGGGGAAUCUUAGACAAUGGGGGAAACCCUGAUCUAGCCAUGCCGCGUGAGCGAUGAAGGCCUUAGGGUUGUAAAGCUCUUUCAGCUGGGAAGAUAAUGACGGUACCAGCAGAAGAAGCCCCGGCUGACUCCGU